AUUAUCCAUUUUUUCACUCCUUUACUGACCCAAUUUUGAUUCCCCCAUCUUGAAACCCUCCUCCUACCCGAGGAAACAAAUCACGUUACUUUGAUUCCCCUCAUCUUCAAACCCUUCACCCCCUUUCUCUCUCCUCUAUUCAUCUUCGAAAUCUGUUCGAAAUAUUUCAAAGCUACUGCGAAAUCUUCAAAUCUACUACGAAGUUCUUCAAAUUUGUUUGCGAAGAUGAUGUUUACAUAAGAACAACCAAUCAUCUUUUUUUCAUAGAUCAAAGGGAAUGCGAAUAUUUUCCUUGUUAUUUCAACAAAACUAAGCUUAGACUCACAAGAAAGCCAAAGGGCUUUAUGGGGUGCCAUUUCCACACUUCGAAACACUUGUUGAAAUUUAUGGGAAAGAUCGAGCUACUGGAGAUGUGCGGAGUCAUAUGUUGGUGCAAUCAAAAAAUGGAAGCAGAGGCAACUAG